GCUACCGUGGCUUAAUUGGUUGAAGCGUCUGUCUAGUAAGCAGGAGAUCACGAUUUCGAAUCUCGUUGGUUCCUUAAACA